AAAAACAGCAAGAGAGGAAAAAAGGACCAAAGUAACUAUGAAACAGCCAAAAAAAAAAAAAGAACAAAAUGGCAAAGGUGGGUUCUUCCCCAUCAAUAAUGACUUUAAAUGUAAAAUGUAAACAGGAGUAAACAUUAACCCCCUCAAUCAAAAGACAUAGAGUGGCUGAAUGAAUAAACAAAAUUCAGCUAUAUUCUGAAAGCAAAGUGAAGAAAAAAUAUAUUCCAUGAAAAUGAUAAACUAAAGGGUAGAAAUGGCUAUAUUUAUUUUAGAAAAAUAGACAUUAAAUAAAAAACUGUCAUGAGGGUUAAAGAGGGACAUCAUAUGAUAAUAAAUUCAUCAGGAAGAUAUAGCAAUUAUAAAUAUGUAUGCAACCAACAUCAGAACACCUAAGUAUAUAAAGCAAAUAUUAAUAGAACUGAAGGGAAUAAUAGAAAGCAAUAUAAUAUUAGUAGGGGACUUCAAAACCCCACUUUCAACAAGGAAUAAAAUAUCCAAACAGAAAAUCAGUAAGGAAACACAUGACUUGAAACAAACUGUAGACUAAAUACGCCUAUCAGAUACAUACAAAACAUUCCACCCAGCAACAGCAACAUAUACAUUCUUUUCAACUGCACAUAAAACUUUCUCCAGAAAUGAUCACAUGAGAAAUGAUCACAUAUUAGGCCAUAAAACAAAUAUUAAAAUAUUUACAAAGAUUGAAAUCACAUCAAAUGUCUCUUCUAAACACAAGUGUAUGAAACUAAAAAUAAUAAAAUGAAAAUCAGAAAAUUUACAAAUAUUUGGAAAUUAAACAACACACUCCUAAACAACCAGUGGACCAAAGAUGAAAUAAAGGGAAAUCAGAAAAUAUCGUGGGACAAAUGCAAAUAAAAACACAGUAUACCAAAACUUAUAAGAUGCAGCAACAGCAGUACUAAGAAGGAAGUUUAUAAUUAUAAAUACUUACAUUAAAAAUGAAGAGCAUUCUCAAAUAAGCAUUCUAACAUUAACUUCAAGGGACUAAAGAAAGAACAGACUAUGUCCAAAGUUAGUAGAAGAAAGGAAAUGAUGAUGAUUAGAGAAGGAAUAAAUAAAAUGGACGCUAGGAAAACAAUAGAAAAAAAAUCAACUAAACCAAAAUUGUUUAUUCAAAAGAUAAACAAAAUUGACAAAGCUUUAGCUGGAAUAACUAAGAAAAAGGAAACAAGAUCCAAAUUAAUAAAUAAAUUAAUAAACAGGAUCCAAAUAAAAUUAGAAUUGAAUUUAUAAAUAAAUUAAUAAACAAGAUCCAAAUAAAAUCAGAAUAGAAGGAGACACUACAAGUGAUGCCACAUAAAUACAAAGUAUCAUAAGAGACUACCAUAAACAAUUACACCAACAUGAUAAAAAUGUUCAACAAACUAUGUGAAGAAGGAUGUACCUUAACAUAAUGAAGUCCCUAUAUGACAAACCCACAGCUAACAUCAUACAUUAGUCACCCCUUAUUUGCAGUUUUACUUCCUACAGUUUCAGUAGAAAAUUUCAGUAGAGUGUGGCCAACCACAGUCCAAAAUAUUACAUGAAAAAUUCCAGAAAUAAAUAAUGAAUAAGUUUCCA
rnacentral:lncRNA from 1 species